GCGAGCUUCGCCGCUUCGUUCUCUCGCGUCUUUGGUGGUCCGGCGUUUCCCCGUCAAGGGAGCUUCGCUGAAUUCGUCAAAACGAAAGCUCGGGCGAUCGUCCGAAUGUGACGUCCCGGAAGGAAUUGAUGUUGGCGCAUCCGCUGCACUGUGAAAUACGGAUAAGCUAUGAGCUUGCGUGACGAAAUAUACGUCUUCGGGAAGAUCGGCCGAUACUGAUUUUAACAGAAUUUUGUCGUUUUUAUUAUAGUUUUUUUCAUCUCUCAACGAGAAAAAAAUUCCAUGCCAUGAUUGAUCUCGACACUCGAUGUUGGGUCGAGCUUUAAUUCCGUCGACUCCGCGAUCUUAACUACCGUGUUAAUUAACACCUCGGUAUCGUAGCACCGCAUGCUACUACCCGACACGCGACGUUACGGUUGUCGCGUGGUGGUUUCGUUACCAACAGUUUUAUAUGUGAAAUACAUCUGAGUUAUAGUAAUAAUAACAAGAAUAAUAAGAUUAAUAAUGAUAAUAAUAAAUUAAAAAUGCCAUGAAGUGAUGGAGUUGAAAAUAAGCAUCGUGCUGUUGGCACUCCUUCAAAUUGCCUUCACUCUCGAAAGUUCCAAGGAAGAUGACGACGCCGAGGAGGACGACGAGGAUAAUUAUCCUCUUGAGGAUUACGAGAAUCCAGCGACGAUAGCCACUGACACGGAAUUGAUUCCCGGUGCAUCGCUUCCCGUAUUUCUUAUCGAACCUUUGGAUUCCUACGUCGUUAAAGGAAAACCAGCAACCCUAAAAUGUCAAGCUGCGAAUGCGCUUCAGGUAUAUUUCCGGUGCAACGGUGUUCGAAUCGAUGGCUCCCAGCACCAGGGGUUCGUCGAUCCUCACACCGGCACCCGCAUCGUCGAGGCGGAGCUGAACGUAACCAGAAACCAGGUUGAAGAAUACUUUGGCAAGGAGAAGUUCAAGUGCGAGUGCGUCGCCUGGUCUGGACCGGGAGAGAUCAAAAGCCAAAGUGCCACUGUCGACGUUGCCUACUUAAAAAAACAGUUUGAAUCACCGCCAUACUCCGUCUCGGUGGAAGUUGGACAUGGAACUGAGUUGAGAUGCAUUCCACCAUCCGGAGUGCCUUAUCCCCAAGUUUACUGGUUCAGAAAUGGUGCGCCACUUGAAAUAACGCCAGCAUCUCCAAACGCGGACACCCUGUUGGUGUCCAGUGAAGGCCAUCUUCUCCUGGGACAGGCGGGACUGCAGCACCAGGCGAACUACACUUGUGUUGCUGAAAAUAUAGCGGCAAAAAGGAUCAGUGAUUCGGCCAGCUUGACUGUAUACGUCAAUGGGGGAUGGACAACCUGGUCUGGAUGGUCAGAGUGCAGUACCAGGUGCGGCAGAGGAGCGCAGAAAAGGACGAGAUCCUGUUCAAAUCCGUUGCCUAUCAACGGCGGCCAACCAUGUCUUGGUCCAUCUUUGCAGAGAACGGAUUGCAACUCACCGUGUCCCGCGGUGGAUGGCAGGUGGUCAGCGUGGUCCUCUUGGUCUAUGUGUGGAUCCGAUUGUUCUCGAAUAAGACGAAGGGCCUGCGACAAUCCGCCUCCGAGUCACGGGGGCCGAAUUUGCCAAGGCAGGGACAUCACAGUGGACGUUUGUUCCGGUGAACAAUGCAACAACGCGGUUGGAUACGGUGGUACUCAAGUUCUUAAAGAAGGCAAUGGGAAUUUAUUUUUUUCAGCCACCAGGGCCGAACAGCAGACUUCUAUAGCACUUUGGAUAUCCCUAAGCGUAGCAACGAUAUUCUUGCUACUUACAACGAUCUUUAUCGUUCGAUUUCUGAAGCGUAAAGAAAGAGACAAUUCAUUGUACAGCAUGGCGAGGUCAGAUUUUCAGCCGGAAUUUUUUCCGGAACAAGAUAAGAAGUCCAUGAUUAACGGGCACACAAACAUUACUGGCAGCGGGCAUGGAUGCUACGAUUAUUCGUUAAACAAGCAGAAUUUCUCAAUGCAAAGGUCCUGUUCCGAGCACCACUAUGACGUGCCACACAUGUCCCUACCCUCGACCAAAUCGUCGUUGACCCCAACCCCCACUGCCUCGACGGAAAAUCGUUCGGUAUCGAUGAAGGAUGGAGGGGACAAGCAGGCCUUUUCAGACAGUGAAAACAGCAUCAACAGCUACUCUUCCUAUUCCACUUACAACGUGGCAACGGACACCGUGGCACUGCCAGCCUUUCAGAACUACGAAAACGAUUUUAUCGCCAGAGCAUCGGUGAGCACGCAGGGAGCUCUUCUGGUCGUUUCAGAGGCCGGUGUGUCGAUGUCAGUACCGGACGCGUCAGUCUGUCGGGGCGAGAAGGAAGAUCUCUAUCUCGCCGUUCUAAGGGACGACAAAUUCCGGCCGAACCUGCCCCAAAACUUGACCUUGCUUUCCGGGGUCAUAACUUGCGGCCCGAAUACCGUUGCCUUCAACAAGCCAGUCAUCCUGCAGUUUGAACACUGCGCCGAACUUAAAGCCAACAACUGGGAACUGAGUGUUUGGUCUGCGACAAUAGACUCCGAGGAAAGUUCCUUCCUCUCAACAGCCAACAGCUUUUCACCAACUGGACUGAGGUCGGCGAACCUUCCGAAAUGGACGAAAGUCCUCACCCUAGGAAAUGAGUCCAUCAACACACCACUAUUCACACAGCUUGACCACGGUGAGGUUUUCAUCGUCACUGAGGAACUGAGAGGAUACGUUUUGGCCGGAGAAAGCUCGUCCAUCGCACCUGGGGUCGCCGUCAAGAGGCUACGGCUGGUCGUCUACGCGGCGCAGAAUUGCGACUACAUCAGGUGUUACGCCGUUGAGGAUACCAAAGCAACGCUGAAGAUAGUCUCAGACCUCGAAUACCGUUUGGGUGGCAGCCUUGUCGAGAAGCGCACUUUCUGUUUCCAAGACAGUGGUGCACCGCUCUGCGUCUACUUGGAGGACCUUGAGAGCGGAUUUACCGACAGACAGGAAGUUCCGUUUCAGCAUAUUUGGUCCUCGUCGAAGAACACCCUUCACUGUUCUUUCAAGAUCGAAAAAAUAGACCGUGACGUUGAGCUUAGCUUCAAACUCCACGCCUACCAACGUGGCUUCGACAGUCACGGCGUCAUUCUAAGAAUUGACUUUGACGUUUCUAAACAGAGUGUUGUCUUCGGAAGCGCCAAGAAGAGCAGGAAACCCGACAUGACUGUCAUCAGCCACGGGACUAGCCGAUCCACCGAAUCAACUAUAAGAACUUUCAGGUUCUCUAAAACCUUAAGAAAACAGUUAUGCCAAUACUUGGAUCCGCCGAACGGGAGGGGCAACGAUUGGCGCAUGUUGGCUCAGAGGUUGCAAGUUGACCGGUACAUAAACUACUUCGCAACGAAGGCGAGCCCUACCGAGCAUAUUCUUGAUCUAUGGGAGGCUAGACACCGCGAGGCAACAGCUGUCACGGAUUUGCUAAAUCACCUGAGACUGAUGGGGCGUAUAGAUGCUGCCAGCGUUCUCGAAAGUCACCUAGGACCCUGGAUAUGAAAGUUCAACGAUUACUUCGUAGCUACAAGUACGUGCCCAAAAAUGGGUAUGAAGUCCUUAACCACUGUUGGACAACACAUGUUUCCUGUGGUAGAUCAAGGAGUUACCUAAUCGAGAACUACGUGUUUAGCAAGAAUGGGAUUAGAUUGUGUUUUGCAACGAAAGGUGUCAUAUAAUCCACAGCAACAUUGAACUUGAUUGAAGCAUCGAUGUCAACUGCAAUAAUUUCGGGACAGGUGCUUCGUGUACGUUUAAUUUUCCCGCUCACGGAGAAGGUGAUAGUUUCGUCCAUUUAUUUGAUUGAUUAAUCGCUGUCACUGUUACCUCGACCGAGUAAUCUCUGUUCAAUAAGAAGACUGCAAAUACUAUAUGGAGAGGCUCGAAAAGCUCGGUAUUGAAAAAACCAAUUUACCGUUUGACUGCAUUUGUAUGUAAUAAUAAUUAUCGUUGACCCAACUCCUACUAUUAUUAUUAUUAUUAUUAUUAUUAUUAUUAUUAUUAUUAUUAUUAUUAUUAUUAUUAUUAACGUUAAUGUUACUUUUCGUACGUUUUUUUUUUUAAUCAGUGUGCACAUACACUUUUAAUGAUUAUCAUUAAUGCUGUCAGAAACAAUAUAUUUUAAGACGAAUCUAAUUAGUUUAGGUUCGUUGCAUGAAUAAAACAGAUGAAAAAAAAAUAGAAUCAUAUAUAUAUAUAUAUUAUACAAUUAAACAGUAGCUGUACAACUAUAUUAAUUAUAAUGUUGCAUUGAAUGCAAGGCUGUACAAAUCAUAUAAUGAACGAUAUUGAUAUUUUGUAAAUAAAAAUUAAUACCGCAAAUAUUGUAGAAUAUUUGAGGUAGGGAUCGACGGAAUAAA
rnacentral:misc_RNA from 1 species